AUCUGAGUGAGAGCGUAGAUUAUAUUUGCAUACCUUUGAUCACAUCAGGCACGGGAAACUUCAGAAAUUGUCGGCCAUCGGAACGCAUCAGCUCCUUAAACAGCUGCCAAGGUUUUCGACCGGUUCGUCCUCUUCGAGGAUAAGGAAACUCGCUCGAGCCACCAAGAACGUGGCUCAGGCGUUUCACUUGGAAGGUAACUCUAACAAAAUCAUUUCAUGGGUUUAGAAUCAAAAUUUUGUGAACCCAAAAUGAAGAAUCUAAGCAGACCAAAUGUUACCUUGUUGGAGAAAAAGACACGGUCGUAAGUGUAGCGAUGAACAGGGUAAACCCAAGAAUUGCAGACGAAAUGAACAGAGCCGCCAUGGCCGGGAACAUCCUGCAAAGUCACUGUCUUCAAGUAAAACUGGCUCCGAUGAUUGUUUCUAAUGAUGAAAGCUUCCGGUACUCCCAUACUCUCCUCCCAUUCAAAGAAAACUCUCAACUCAAUCUCCUCCGCCGUUAACGACGGCGUCACCGUCGUUGUCCACUUCUCCAGUUUCCCCACUCCU